AUUGAACGCUGGCGGCAUGCCUUACACAUGCAAGUCGAACGGUAACAGGUCUUCGGAUGCUGACGAGUGGCGAACGGGUGAGUAAUACAUCGGAACGUGCCUAGUAGUGGGGGAUAACUACUCGAAAGAGUGGCUAAUACCGCAUGAGAUCUACGGAUGAAAGCAGGGGAUCGCAAGACCUUGUGCUACUAGAGCGGCCGAUGGCAGAUUAGGUAGUUGGUGGGAUAAAAGCUUACCAAGCCGACGAUCUGUAGCUGGUCUGAGAGGACGAUCAGCCACACUGGGACUGAGACACGGCCCAGACUCCUACGGGAGGCAGCAGUGGGGAAUUUUGGACAAUGGGCGCAAGCCUGAUCCAGCAAUGCCGCGUGCAGGAUGAAGGCCUUCGGGUUGUAAACUGCUUUUGUACGGAACGAAAAGACUCCUUCUAAUAAAGGGGGUCCAUGACGGUACCGUAAGAAUAAGCACCGGCUAACUACGUGCCAGCAGCCGCGGUAACAC
rnacentral:rRNA from 1 species